rnacentral:rRNA from 4 species
UACAGAGGGUGCGAGCGUUAAUCGGAAUUACUGGGCGUAAAGCGCGCGUAGGCGGCUUUGCAAGUCGGGUGUGAAAUCCCCAGGCUUAACCUGGGAACUGCAUUCGAGACUGCAUUGCUAGAGUAUGGGAGAGGGAAGUGGAAUUUCCGGUGUAGCGGUGAAAUGCGUAGAUAUCGGAAGGAACAUCAGUGGCGAAAGCGACUUCCUGGACCAAUACUGACGCUCAUGUGCGAAAGCGUGGGGAGCAAACAGG